AUAAAAUAAAAAUCCCAUGCAAUUCAUACAAAACACACAGUUCAUGGGAUUUUUGAAUUUACGAACAAUUCCAUAAAAUAUUCGAAGAAUUUUUCUGGGUAGUUUUGUGUCAGACUGUUCAGAAUUCUACUGUAAUUCAGUUGUAGAAUUUUGAAAAAAUGUUGCACACAAAAUCAGAGUCAGAUAUAACAAGUUUAGCACCGUCGUCGCCGUCGAGGUCACCAAAACGGCCAGUUUACUAUGUACAGAGUCCUUCAAGGGACUCACAGGAUGGGGAUAAAUCAGCAUCCAUGCAGCCGACGCCGAGUUUCAAUAGUCCAAUGGAAUCUCCUUCGCAUCCUUCAUUUGGGCGGCACUCGAGGAAUUCGUCGGCUAGUCGAUUUUCCGGGAUAUUUAGGUCGUCUUCCGGCAGGAAAAAUGGCCGGAAAAGGAACGAUAAAGGGUGGCCGGAAUGUAAUGUAAUUUUGGAAGAAGGCAAGUAUGAUGAAUUUGAUGAGGAAAAGGGAUUAACUCGGCGGUGUCAGGCUUUGCUUGCUCUUUUGGGGUUUGUUGUUUUGUUUUCCAUCUUUUGCCUCAUCAUUUGGGGCGCUGGACGUCCUUUCAAAGCUGAGAUUACUGUCAGGAGUAUGGUCGUGAAUAACUUCUACGUCGGUGAAGGUUCGGACUUCACUGGAGUUGUAACGAAGAUGAUGACAGUGAAUGCAUCGUUAAGAAUAAGCGUGUACAAUCCUGCUACGUUCUAUGGCAUUCAUGUUACCUCCACCCCCAUCAAUCUCAUCUAUUCAGACAUCGUUGUUGCUAGCGGUCAGCUAAGAAAAUAUUUUCAACCAAGGAAGAGUAGGCGUACUGAGUUAGUGAGCAUAGAAGCGACAAAGGUUCCCUUGUAUGGAGCUGGAUCAAGUCUUGAUGCAGCAACCAACGGUGGUUUUAAAGUUCCAUUAAAGUUGGAGUUUGAAAUCAAGUCGCGCGGAGAUGUGGUGGGGAAAUUAGUCAGAACAAAGCACAAAAAGGAAAUCUCAUGUAAUUUAGUCAUCGACUCUACUAGCACAAAACCCAUCAAGUUCAAGAAGAAUUCUUGUGUUUAUACCUGAAGAAGAUAUGAUCGUUCGCUUCAAUUUUCAGUUUGUGUGCAGACAACUUUCUGUAAAAUUCUCUUCUUAGCAAUGUUCAUUUUUCACUUUGGGUGUGACAAGCUUGUGUAAAAUUUCUCUCUUUUUAUUAGCAAAGUAAGUACAAUUUUGAGAACACUAUAUAUCAUUCGAAUAAAAUAGCAUUUCCCUCAAAAGAACAUUGUUGGCUGCAAGUUGAAUUGGUGUACAUAUGUAAGUUUGGGUUUAUG
rnacentral:misc_RNA from 1 species